UAGCCUAGUGGUUAAGGCUGUGGAUCGCCAAUCCGGAGACGGCGGGUUCGAUUCCCGU
rfam:Aedes albopictus isolate Foshan contig16374, whole genome shotgun sequence.